rnacentral:rRNA from 1 species
UAGGGAAUCUUCCACAAUGGACGCAAGUCUGAUGGAGCAACGCCGCGUGAGUGAAGAAGGUUUUCGGAUCGUAAAGCUCUGUUGUUGGUGAAGAAGGAUAGAGUCAGUAACUGGUCUUUAUUUGACGUUAAUCAACCAGAAAGUCACGGCUAACUACGUGCCAGCAGCCGCGGUAAUACGUAGGUAGCAAGCGUUGUCCGGAUUUAUUGGGCGUAAAGCGAGCGCAGGCGGAAUGAUAAGUCUGAUGUGAAAGCCCACGGCUCAACCGUGGAAAUGCAUCGGAAAAUGUCAUUCUUGAGUGCAGAAGAGGAGAGUGGAAUUCCAUGUGUAGCGGUGGAAUGCGUAGAUAUAUGGAAGAACACCAGUGGCGAAGGCGGCUCUCUGGUCUGCAACUGACGCUGAGGCUCGAAAGCAUGGGUAGCGAACAGG